UUUGAAUUUCGCGGCGAUAAU
rnacentral:piRNA from 1 species